AUGAAAUAUAUAAAAUCUCAGACAUGCUGAGACUUUAACCCCAAUUAAAACGUUUGCUAUUUACAAGCUAGAUUGCAACUGCCCCGCUCAGCACAUCGUGACCAGCCAGAGCUGCAGCAGAGAACUCAUCCACUCAGAUAAAAACCUAAUUGUAUAGUGACCAUCAGAAAAAGAAAAAAACAAACAAACAAACAAAAAACUUUGCAAACUCUUUGCAAACCCAUGCAGAAGAUGGAAAUAAGCCUGCAUGUCAAAAUGUUUAUUCAGUUAAAAAGAGGCAUAGUUAGAUCUGCCUUUAUGGAAUCAUCAUUGUUGCUUUGUUCUACUGAAAACCAUGGAAAUGUCACCCCUCAGAUCAGCUGA
rnacentral:lncRNA from 1 species